GGUGAUAUUUAGAGGGUUUAGCUGAAUGGUGACUUAAUUGAGAUAUUGGUGAUAUUUAGAGGUUUAGCUGAAUGGUGACUUAAGAGAGAUAUUGGUGAUAUUUAGAAGGUUUAGCUGAAUGGUGACUUAAUUGAGAUAUUGGUGAUAUUUAGAGGGUUUAGCUGAAUGGUGACUUAAGAGAGAUAUUGGUGAUACUUAGAGGGUUUAGCUGAAUGGUGACUUAAUUGAGAUAUUGGUGAUAUUUAGAGGUUUAGCUAAAUGGUGACUUAAGAGAGAUAUCGGUGAUAUGUAAAGGUUUAGCUAAAUGGUGACUUAAGAGAGAUAUCGGUGAUAUGUAAAGGUUUAGCUAAAUGGUGACUUAAGAGAGAUAUCGGUGAUAUGUAAAGGUUUAGCUAAAUGGUGACUUAAGAGAGAUAUUGGUGAUAUGUAAAGGUUUAGCUAAAUGGUGACUUAAGAGAGAUAUCGGUGAUAUGUAAAGGUUUAGCUAAAUGGUGACUUAAGAGAGAUAUCGGUGAUAUGUAAAGGUUUAGCUAAAUGGUGACUUAAGAGAGAUAUCGGUGAUAUGUAAAGGUUUAGCUGAAUGGUGACUUCAGGGAGAUAUUGGUGAUAUGUAGAGGUUUAGCUAAAUGGUGACUUAAGAGAGAUAUCGGUGAUAUGUAAAGGUUUAGCUGAAUGGUGAUUUAAGAGAGAUAUUGGUAAUACAUAGAGGUUUAGCUGAAUGGUGACUUAAGAUAGAUAUUGGUGAUUCUUAGAGGUUUAGCUGAAUGGUGACUUAAGAGAGUUAUUGGUGAUAAUUAGAGGUUUAGCUGAAUGGUGACUUAAGAGAGAUAUCGGUGA
rnacentral:sRNA from 1 species